rnacentral:rRNA from 1 species
CCAGACUCCUACGGGAGGCAGCAGUGGGGAAUAUUGGACAAUGGGGGGGACCCUGAUCCAGCGACGCCGCGUGAGUGAAGAAGUAUUUCGGUAUGUAAAGCUCUAUCAGCAGGGAAGAAGAAAUGACGGUACCUGACUAAGAAGCCCCGGCUAACUACGUGCCAGCAGCCGCGGUAAUACGUAGGGGGCAAGCGUUAUCCGGAUUUACUGGGUGUAAAGGGAGCGUAGACGGUGCAGCAAGUCUGGAGUGAAAGGCAGGGGCCCAACCCCUGGACUGCUCUGGAAACUGUUGUACUUGGGUGCAGGAGAGGUAAGUGGAAUUCCUAGUGUAGCGGUGAAAUGCGUAGAUAUCAGGAGGAACACCAGUGGCGAAGGCGGCUUGCUGGACGAUGACUGACGUUGAGGCUCGAAAGCGUGGGGAGCAAACAGGAUUAGAUACCCUUGUAUA